UUGACUAAUUGGAAUAUUUUGGAAUCCUUGAGGAAUAAGGAAAGAAUUUGAAAUUCUACAUCCCAUAUUAGAUGAGAGAAUAUUUCAAAUUAUAUCUCUAUCCCACAUGGGAUAGAGAUAAACUUGGAAAGGGAUUUAAGGCUAUAUAUAGGAUGUUAGGGGUUUCAUUCCUCCUUGCACCUUGUCUUGAAUUUUUGUUAAUUUCUUCUAUUUCUCUCUAUGGGAUGAAUUUCUUAACCCUUCCUAGGGUUUGUAGAAAUUUGACCAUCUCUUAUCUUUUCUAUUGGUUCUCUCUUUGGAGUUAUUAAGUGUGAUUCCAUUAGAGUGACUCUACUUUGGGUCCUCUCAUCCAAGAAACAUGGUUGGAUUGAUUAUGAAGCUUCAAGAAUGGGUCAAAAAGAUCAAUAUUAAGUUGCACAAGAGUUUAGUAAUUUCGUCUUUCUUAUUAGAUUUACAAUUUAAUAAAGUAAGCUGCUAUAAUUAGUAAACCUAGAUCCUAUGGUGCAUGUAUACUUAGGUGAAUUUUUAUUGUUUCCGCUGCAUUGUUAGAGUGUAUUCAUGCGUACAAAACCCAACAAGUAUAUUACUGGAGUUUGAGUUUAAAUGUGAAUUUUGACCAUUUUGACUUUGACUCUGCACUCCUGAUGCAUCUUGGGAUACAAAAAAUGUAAAUCCAUGAAUUAUUUUUUACUAUUCUGCAUAUACGUGAUAAGAAGGUUGGGAUGUGUAAGGACUAAAGUGUUACCAGAAAGGUGAUAUAUUACUAGAGUUUAAGUUCGAGGUGAAUUUUGACCAUUAUGACUUUGACGUCGCACUCCUAAUACAUUUUGGGCUACAGAAAAUGCAAACCCACGAAUUAUGAUUGUUCUGUAUAUACAUGAUAAGAAGGUUGGUAUGUUUAGGUGUUAAAUUGCUAUCAUGAAGUUGAUAUAUUACUUGCGUUUGAGUUCUAAGGUAAACUUUUGACCCUUUCGACUUUGACCUGAAACUCUUCCCGAUACAUCUUGGGCUAUAUGAAAGCAAAACCAUGAAUUUUUUGUAACUAUUUUGCAUAUACAUUAUCAGGGAUAUUUAGGGGUUAAAGUUAUAUUUAUGGGCAAUAUGGCAAUUUUUUUAUUAUAAUUUUUCUUGAAUAUAAUAAUUAGAUUUUGAUAAAUACAAUAUUUUGAAAAUUAAGAUAAUAAUGAUAAAUAUGUUAUUUAGAUUUUGAUAAAUACACCUACUCUCUCUCUCUCUACCUCUCUCUCUCUCUCUCUCUAUCUCUCUCUCACGACCAUUCCGCCCCUUCAACUUCUAUCUAGAAAAUACUUGAUCGGUUUUAGAGGAUGAGCUUUUCCCUUUCAUGUAGGAUUAUGAGCUUCUACACAAGACCGACUCGAUUGGUUAAGACAUCAAUUGGAAGCUUUAUUUUGCCAAUACACAUGAAAGUUUCAACUUCCUCUCUCACCAAAUUCCUACAAACAUACUUUGAGGUUGUUAAUUUGCAAAUGUUUGCAAGUGUCUGCACUGAGAACGGCAGUUCCUACAAGUUCAUGUCUUUAUGUGUGUAAGUUAGAAGAUUGUUAAUGACUGAAGAAGAUGAAUUGGGUGGUGGUGCUUGGAGGGUAUACUGGAUGGGGUCAUGUAAGAAACAAGAGAGAGAGAGAGAGAGAGAGAGAGAGAGAGAGAGAGAGAGAGAGAGAGAGAGGUGGGGUGAUAGUUUUGUACCCUAUCUAGAUUUUUUUUUUUUUUGCUUUUUAGGUUUUGUUUUUUUUGUGUUUUGUGUUUUGUGUUUUUUUUUUUUUUUUUUUUUU